GGAUUACGACUGAAUGCCUCU
rnacentral:miRNA from 1 species